rnacentral:lncRNA from 1 species
GUACUACUUAGAACAUUGCGGUUGAUUCUUCACAUGUAUCUUUUUACCUUCUAGUUGGACUGAAAUGUCUGUUUGUUUUAUUUGUUGUUAGCUUAUAUUGGAAAAUUAAAUACUUUUAAUAUAAUUCAAGAAGGCCUAUAUUAUUUGAAAUUUUCUACUGGCUCUGUUGAACUGAAGAGGACACACGUUAGGUGAAUGUCUCAAUGUAUUCAAAAUUUACAACAUGACAUGCAUGGUUCUGAUAGUGCUGACAAACGCUUGUUAUCUAACAGGUGUCCUUAUUGGUAGAUGCUAAGUAAGCUUUCUCUACCUCAGUAAAUGCAAUAGUCCUUAGUUCACUGAAUAAGCUACUAAUCAAUAUAUAUAUUUUGGAUAUGAUUCAUUAGUUCAUAAAUAUUUAAGCAUAGAGUCCCAUACUUGUCAUGAAGUUCCUGAGUUUCCAAUAUUCUAAAUUUGUAUAUAUUCUUGUGGGGAUGGUUGAGUUUAGGUAAAAAUGAUCAAUCUAUAUGAUAUUAUUAGUAAAUAAAAUAAGAGCUUGUAAUGUUAUUGGACUUACCAUUGAACUUCUGCACUAUUGUGGAGGUUACAAUAAGGACAGUUUGGUUGUUGCUUACACCCUAAUUUCCCCAUAAUGUCAAUACGAUUUUAUUACCCUAAAGAGUAUAAGCAGAAAAAACUAAUGCUAAUAGCAAUGGUAGAAGUCCAAUUCGUAUUUUAAGAACGGGUAUGCAUUAUGCACUUACUUUGGUAUAUAAUUUCAAUCUGCAGAAAUAUGAAGGUUAUUAGUUAUUUCUUCUUAUUCUUGAUUCCACAGGCUUCAUUUGGGGAGUAACCAAUGACAUUUAUUGGAGAUUAAUUAGUUCACAGUAAGGAUUAAUUACUUGAAAAAUCUUAUUUACAACUAAAAAAUAUAGACAUACCUGAGCAUUGUUUAUCAUUCUUGGCCUGUUCCUAUAAUAUGUCUUUGCUAGCAAUCUCGAAGUAGUAAUGCGGAUAACCUUAUGCCGAUCUUUUCACCUUCAAAUUGUUAAAUCCAUAAAUAGAUUUGUCAUUUAGCUUUGAUUUCUACGUGUCCAUCAAACCUCCGAGACGGUUGAAUGAAUUGUUUGGCCCUAUAAGAACAGUCAAAUUAUACUCAGUGACUGUUGUUUUACUUUUAAAAUGAUGGAACAGUCUGAAAUUAGAUAUGUUAUGAAAUAACCUUUUCAUCCAUCUAGAUCAUAUUGAGGCUCAUAAGCUCGUGUCGGUUGUACAUUCCAGUUUUGCUUCCUUGUUGUGAAGUCACUAUGCUUCUUGUAUGACAUUGUUUUCUCUGCAAAAAAGUUAGACAUUUGUUAGUCAAUUGAUAAUAUACAUACAAAGAUUGUAUCUGGAUAAUAAAUACACACCGUUAUGAUUCAGGUGAUAGGCAACUCGGAAGGAUGGCAGGGUGUGACUUCGUCGAGCAUUGAGUCGCACGUCAAGUUGCAUUUUUCACAGAUUCUGAUCUUUUCCCAGCGUUGUGUUGCCCUCUAUAGAAACUUCUUUUGUUGACGUGUGUCGAGUAGCAGAUUUGGCUGGCUUGAAUUUUGGAUAUGUGCUGGGCAUGGCCGAAAUUUGGCUGGCUUAAAGUUUUGGAUGCGUGCUGGGUAUGGCCGGCUGGGUGCCUUCUUAUUUGUGCCUGCCUUGGCCGACUACAUGUAAACUUCAGGUUGAGUCCGUAUGGAAUUAUGCAUGCAGUCUGGUACUGGUGCACGUGAGUUUCCAUAUGGACAAUUUGCCCGAUUUGGAGAUACAUGGGCAUGUUUUUUCUAAGGAAAGACCUGCCAUAAGGAAAGACUUGCCUAGGGGAUCUCUUUUUGUACGUGUUCAAGUUGGACUUUGUUCAACAUGAUUGACCGGAGGUUGUUCGGAGGCUUUUUUCUACGUGAUUGCUGGGGCAGAUUGAUUGGUUGCAUCCAUGCCAAGUGCUAACAUGAACGUGGGUUCAUCUUAUACGUGUCUCUUUUUUGCGGGCUUAUCUUAGACGUGUCUGAUUUAAAAAGUUGUACAUGUUAUCGUGUACAUAAUUUUUACAUAUUUUUAAUCUCAACCAUUGUUGUAUAAAUCAAUGGCUAAUAUAUUUUGUACCAACUAUUGCUAACUGGUCACCGUUUUACCUGAAGUAUGCACCCAUGCAUGUGGUCAACGUGUUACCCAUCUCUUCAUUUCUUCUUCCGAAUAGAUAAAACAGAUUCAUUUCUCUUGCUGGCUGUACUUUUUUAGAUGAGCCGGCUGUACUUAAUCUAUAGAAUAUGAAAAACAACUUCGGCUAGCCCAUGCAAUUUUUUUAGAACUGCCCAUGUACGGGUGGUACAGGUCCAGGGAUCAUGAUGCAGGCCCAGUUGAGUAAUUUAGUGAACGAUACCACUCCAUAACAUUAAAUCCAUAUAGGAUACAGUGCUAGU